ACGCAACCCUUCGGGGUUGAGUGGCGGACGGGUGAGUAACGCGUGAGAAUCUGCCUUCAGGUCGGGGACAACCACUGGAAACGGUGGCUAAUACCCGAUGUGCGCAACGUGAAAGAUUUAUCGCCUGAAGAGGAGCUCGCGUCUGAUUAGCUAGUUGGUGGGGUAAAAGCUCACCAAGGCGACGAUCAGUAGCUGGUCUGAGAGGAUGAUCAGCCACACUGGGACUGAGACACGGCCCAGACUCCUACGGGAGGCAGCAGUGGGGAAUUUUCCGCAAUGGGCGAAAGCCUGACGGAGCAAGACCGCGUGAGGGAGGAAGGCUCUUGGGUUGUAAACCUCUUUUGUUAGGGAAGAACACAAUGACGGUACCUAACGAAUCAGCCUCGGCUAACUCCGUGCCAGCAGCCGCGGUAAUACGGAGGAGGCAAGCGUUAUCCGGAAUUAUUGGGCGUAAAGCAUCCGCAGGUGGCUAUUCAAGUCUGCGGUCAAAGACUGGGGCUUAACCCUGGAAAGGCCGUGGAAACUGAAGAGCUAGAGUGCAGUAGGGGUAGAGGGAAUUCCCGGUGUAGCGGUGAAAUGC
rnacentral:rRNA from 1 species